GACGAACGCUGGCGGCGUGCCUAAUACAUGCAAGUAGAACGCUGAAGGAGGAGCUUGCUUCUCUGGAUGAGUUGCGAACGGGUGAGUAACGCGUAGGUAACCUGCCUGGUAGCGGGGGAUAACUAUUGGAAACGAUAGCUAAUACCGCAUAAGAGUAGAUGUUGCAUGACAUUUGCUUAAAAGGUGCAAUUGCAUCACUACCAGAUGGACCUGCGUUGUAUUAGCUAGUUGGUGAGGUAACGGCUCACCAAGGCAACGAUACAUAGCCGACCUGAGAGGGUGAUCGGCCACACUGGGACUGAGACACGGCCCAGACUCCUACGGGAGGCAGCAGUAGGGAAUCUUCGGCAAUGGACGGAAGGCUGACCGAGCAACGCCGCGUGAGUGAAGAAGGGUUUCGGAUCGUAAAGCUCUGUUGUAAGAGAAGAACGAGUGUGAGAGUGGAAAGUUCACACUGUGACGGUAUCUUACCAGAAAGGGACGGCUAACUACGUG
rnacentral:rRNA from 1 species